rnacentral:tRNA from 2 species
GCCGGUAUAGCUCAGCUGGUAGAGCAACUGACUUGUAAUCAGUAGGUCCCGGGUUCGACUCCUGUGCCGGCACCA